rnacentral:rRNA from 1 species
GAUCCUGGCUCAGAUUGAACGCUGGCGGCAUGCCUUACACAUGCAAGUCGAACGGUAACGCGGGGCAACCUGGCGACGAGUGGCGAACGGGUGAGUAAUGCAUCGGAACGUGCCCAGUAGUGGGGGAUAGCCCGGCGAAAGCCGGAUUAAUACCGCAUACGACCUACGGGUGAAAGCGGGGGACUCGCAAGAGCCUCGCGCUAUUGGAGCGGCCGAUGUCAGAUUAACUAGUUGGUGGGGUAAAAGCCUACCAAGGCGACGAUCUGUAGCUGGUCUGAGAGGACGACCAGCCACACUGGGACUGAGACACGGCCCAGACUCCUACGGGAGGCAGCAGUGGGGAAUUUUGGACAAUGGGCGCAAGCCUGAUCCAGCCAUGCCGCGUGCGGGAAGAAGGCCUUCGGGUUGUAAACCGCUUUUGUCAGGGAAGAAACGCUCUGGGCUAAUACCCCGGGGUAAUGACGGUACCUGAAGAAUAAGCACCGGCUAACUACGUGCCAGCAGCCGCGGUAAUACGUAGGGUGCAAGCGUUAAUCGGAAUUACUGGGCGUAAAGCGUGCGCAGGCGGUUAUGCAAGACAGAUGUGAAAUCCCCGGGCUCAACCUGGGAACUGCGUUUGUGACUGCAUAGCUAGAGUACGGUAGAGGGGGAUGGAAUUCCGCGUGUAGCAGUGAAAUGCGUAGAUAUGCGGAGGAACACCGAUGGCGAAGGCAAUCCCCUGGACCUGUACUGACGCUCAUGCACGAAAGCGUGGGGAGCAAACAGGAUUAGAUACCCUGGUAGUCCACGCCCUAAACGAUGUCAACUGGUUGUUGGACGGCUUGCUGUUCAGUAACGAAGCUAACGCGUGAAGUUGACCGCCUGGGGAGUACGGCCGCAAGGUUGAAACUCAAAGGAGUUGACGGGGACCCGCACAAGCGGUGGAUGAUGUGGUUUAAUUCGAUGCAACGCGAAAAACCUUACCUACCCUUGACAUGUCAAGAAUCUUGCAGAGAUGUGAGAGUGCUCGAAAGAGAACUUGAACACAGGUGCUGCAUGGCCGUCGUCAGCUCGUGUCGUGAGAUGUUGGGUUAAGUCCCGCAACGAGCGCAACCCUUGUCAUUAGUUGCUACGAAAGGGCACUCUAAUGAGACUGCCGGUGACAAACCGGAGGAAGGUGGGGAUGACGUCAGGUCCUCAUGGCCCUUAUGGGUAGGGCUACACACGUCAUACAAUGGCCGGUACAGAGGGCUGCCAACCCGCGAGGGGGAGCUAAUCCCAGAAAACCGGUCGUAGUCCGGAUCGCAGUCUGCAACUCGACUGCGUGAAGUCGGAAUCGCUAGUAAUCGCGGAUCAGCUUGCCGCGGUGAAUACGUUCCCGGGUCUUGUACACACCGCCCGUCACACCAUGGGAGCGGGUUCUGCCAGAAGUAGUUAGCCUAACCGCAAGGGGGGCGAUCACCACGGCAGGGUUCGUGACUGGGGUGAAGUCGUAACAAGGUA